rnacentral:rRNA from 1 species
UGGGGAAUAUUGCACAAUGGGCGCAAGCCUGAUGCAGCCAUGCCGCGUGUAUGAAGAAGGCCUUCGGGUUGUAAAGUACUUUCAGCGAGGAGGAAGGCGUUGUGGUUAAUAACCGCAACGAUUGACGUUACUCGCAGAAGAAGCACCGGCUAACUCCGUGCCAGCAGCCGCGGUAAUACGGAGGGUGCAAGCGUUAAUCGGAAUUACUGGGCGUAAAGCGCACGCAGGCGGUCCGUCAAGUCGGAUGUGAAAUCCCCGGGCUCAACCUGGGAACUGCAUCCGAAACUGGCAGGCUAGAGUCUUGUAGAGGGGGGUAGAAUUCCAGGUGUAGCGGUGAAAUGCGUAGAGAUCUGGAGGAAUACCGGUGGCGAAGGCGGCCCCCUGGACAAAGACUGACGCUCAGGUGCGAAAGCGUGGGGAGCAAACA